rnacentral:lncRNA from 1 species
CGAAAUUUGUGACUGGAAACCGAAAGACCAACCUGAGCAUGCCAUCUUAUUGAUUUACUCGCCAAGAUGAAUAUCCUAGACAUGUCGCAUACCCCUUACGAGAAUGUCACUGCAAGGAUUAAGCUGUCUGACAUUAUUGGAUCACAAAAAUUAACAGUCCUACAAGCCAUUAGACCAGGUAGACUAUUCGGAGGAGGUAUGCUAAUCAAUGAUCUACUGACGUACAAAGAUGCAAUAAUAAGCAACUACCAGAAUCCCCGUUUGAACUUUCUGAUCGGAGAUGCACAAUUGUAGUUUUGGGGAGAGAUGAUAGACA